AAAGCGCAGUAGGGGGCUCUCGCGGUUGGGGAACAUAGAUGGCUGGAGACAGAAUCUAGAGCCUUCAAAUAAUGUGGAGAUGUUUCCACCUUCAGGUUCCACUGGGCUGAUUCCCCCCUCCCACUUUCAAGCUCGGCCCCUUUCAACUCUGCCAAGAAUGGCUCCCACCUGGCUCUCAGACAUUCCCCUGGUCCAACCCCCAGGCCAUCAAGAUGUCUCAGAGAGGCGGCUAGACACCCAGAGACCUCAAGUGACCAUGUGGGAACGGGAUGUUUCCAGUGACAGGCAGGAGCCAGGGCGGAGAGGCAGCUGUCCUCUUUGACACAGGCUCACGAGGAGGCUCUUUCCAGUUUGACCAGCAAGGCUGAGGGCUUGGAGAAGUCUCUGAGUAGUCUGGAAACCAGAAGAGCAGGGGAAGCCAAGGAGCUGGCCGAGGCUCAGAGGGAGGCCGAGCUGCUUCGGAAGCAGCUGAGGUAGGUGGGCGGACGCCGACGGGAGCCCAGCAAUUAGUGAUGUGGUGGAUCUGCAGGGCGCCCCACUGAUGGCU
rnacentral:lncRNA from 1 species